rnacentral:rRNA from 1 species
UACGUAGGGUGCAAGCGUUAAUCGGAAUUACUGGGCGUAAAGCGUGCGCAGGCGGUUGUGUAAGACAGAUGUGAAAUCCCCGGGCUCAACCCUGGGAACUGCAUUUGUGACUGCACAGCUGGAGUGCGGCAGAGGGGGAUGGAAUUCCGCGUGUAGCAGUGAAAUGCGUAGAUAUGCGGAGGAACACCGAUGGCGAAGGCAAUCCCCUGGGCCUGCACUGACGCUCAUGCACGAAAGCGUGGGGAGCAAACAGG